UUUCCGUAGGUGAACCUGCGGAAGGAUCAUUAAUGAGUUGUCAUGGGGUUCGAUGCUGGCAGCCAAUUUUUGGAUGCAUGUGCUUGCCCUAACAAUCAUCUUCCAAACACCCGUGCACAUUUUUGAGGGAGUCUUGAGUUGGUUGCCGCUCUUGGGUGAUUUUCUCACAUUCCCUUAAAUCAUUAUACGCUGUUAACAAUGUUGAACGUGCUCUGUGCCGCAAGGCUAUUAAUAUAAUACAACUUUUAACAACGGAUCUCUUGGCUCUC
rnacentral:misc_RNA from 1 species